CUUCAAAAAAUAAACGCAAAAGACGGAAAUCCAUAGCCUCAGCUUUGCCUCAGCUUCGUCGCCGACGGCGCGCCUCCGCCGAUUCGACCACAACUCCAACUCGCCCUCUGACUCGCUCGCACGUUCGCAUCGCGCCUCCGUCAGGCGUCUGGGCCGUGGCGGCAACUGAGGCCGGGCCGCCGCGUGCGCCCUGCCGCCGUCCGCGCCGUGGCGGUGACUGAGGCCUGGCCGCCGCGUGCGCCCUGCCGCCUUCCGCGCCGUGGCGGCGACUGCGGCCGGGCCGCCGCGCGCGCCUUCGCUCCCACAACGAAUCGACCGCACAGCCGGGCACCACUUCGUCGAGCUCCGCCCAGCUCAUCCCGUCGGCAGCUCGCCCAUGGAUGUUCCGCUCAUCGCCGCAAUCGGCCAGGUGGGGGCAUGUCGGCUUGCUCCGCCCAGCUCCGGCGACCCCAGCUAGCACGUUGCUCCGAGGCCCCUCAUUGAUCCCCGUGGAGGCGGCGAGCGUGCUGAAGCUCAGGCUGGAGGAGGACAUUGACUGCGUCAUGAACCCUCUCCUCUUCGGCUCUCCUUCGUUCCCGUCGGCGGAGCUAGAGGCUCAGACCUGGUCUUCCCCGAAUCCACAGCUGCGAGCCUCCUCGAGCGGCCCAAGUACACGCUCCCGGAUUUGAUGAUCGACGCCCUUCCCCACCUCGCACGGGACUGGUCACUGGCUAUAGUUGUUGAGGAGUUGGAGAGGACAGAAUUAUAUGGAGAGAAAUUGCAUAUAUUCAGAAAAGCCUUCCUGUUCUAUAACAUAGCAUGCUUUAUACUUCCUCCAUACAGCCAUCGGUGUUUUCUUUGCUGGAUGGAUAGGUAAGAUGAGGCUGUAGAAACUUAUAGAAACAGUACCUUUGUGUUACAUAUUUGACCACCUGUGCUAUAGUUACAGAGGUUUCAUGCUGGAUUUUGACUGGGGAAAGGCAGAAGCAGUGAUAAGAUGAAAAUAUGUCCAAGUCUUGCUAAACCAAGACAUGAGUUUCUUUGAUACCUAUGGAAACAAUGGUGAUAUUGUCUAUAUGAAGAUAACCAAGAGUCAAAAAAUUGCAAGAUAAUCAUGUUGAUCAUAUUAAUUCACUUACUCCAAGUAUGCGAACUCCCCCCUAAAUAGGGCAUGGCUAUUAUAUUUUCAGAGAUUAGUAUGCAAGGAAAUUAGUUAAUUAGCAUGUAAUAAGCUCACAUCGUACAACCACAGUACUAUAGCUGAAACUGAAGCUACCACGACCUACUGGCUGGUCUCAAAAUAGUACUAUAUUCUACCAUUAUUGAACUCUUCAUCCUUCAACACACAUGCCAAGAAAAUGAGAUAGCAACGGUAGCUAAAUGAGUUUGUAACUUCAUCCAUAUAGCAUAAAUCUGAGGUUCUUUUCUUUCCCCUUUCUUUUCUGAAAAAGAAGAGUCCAUUUUGUCAGAGAAUCAAUUAUUUGUGCCCUUUGACAAAAAUUUACCUAGGUUGCUUGAGGAUGACCAAAUUUAGUUGGGGACAAUGAUCUACCAAUUUAUCCUUCUAUCUUGCCUACCCUGGUUCUACCUUUGCUCCCCUCCUCUAAUCCGACUACUGUCCAUGGGAGCUAUUUCACGUCCCAGAUGAAAUUUAGCAUCCUAGCUUUCAGGACAAAUAUGCAGAAACAUUCUCAAAUUCCUAGAGAAGGAAUAGUAGGAAAUGUGAAUUGAUUUAUGUUAUCAUCAUAACUGACUCCCAUUUCUAAUGAAAAAAGUACAAAAACAGAUUGCUCUUAACUCAUUGUUAUAGAUAUCUCCAUGAUGUUGUACCAACAACCUUUGAUGUGCACUGAAUCCACCUUCUGUAUUUGGAGCGAAAAAAUGAUCUUAUUGCUCGCCAAAGAAAUAGCCCAUAUCUAAUUGCAAAAGGAGACACAUCACUUGGCUAUGGUAAGCUAGACUACUCUUCUUAUGGCAUCAGGAAACCAUCUAUGUUUAAACAGCUGGUGACCAGUUGAAGGGAUCAAUAUAUGUGAUAGGAAGAUAAAUCCCGGAAGAGAUGGUAAUGUCUAUAUUCUUAUCCCAUUGUGAAACCAGGCCAUCAAGCAAAAUGCAAUCAAAAAGCAAAGGUCUGGGCAGUAGGCGUUGAACUAAGAUGAGGCACAUCUUAUCUUAUAAUAAAAAUGUCAGGUUUAUGUGAAAUAGGAACCACUGUAUAGUUAAGAGUGAAACUCAUUUAACGGAUCAUGCAAUUUUUAGAAAUCAUUCAUCGCUAGAAAUAUUCAGGCUAACAGAAAAUGCAACAUAUUAUGUUCAGCUCGUCUAGCAAAUAGAGAGCUUAAAUAUCAUAUUUAUUUGUUUGGUCUAUAAAUUGAUUCCUUGUAACAAUAGGGAAAGACAUGAUGUUUUAUUGUGCUUAGGACAUGCAUUACAUGGAAGUUCUUCCUUUUUAGUUAGAUUAGGACAUGCAGAUGAUACACUAACAAUGAAAUUACAGGUGUUUCAGCAAAUGCAUGUCAACUCUAUUUUAGUCACUCGGAAAAGCAAAAUGAACCUUUUCCAUGAAAGUAGAUUCAAAUGCUAUUCUAACAAGUGGGAUUAUGUACCUUCACUAAACCUGAUGAUCCCAACAGAGGCCGUAAACCUGAUGAGAAAUACUCCCUGAUCACACACAAGGUAUUAAAACAGGUUAGAUCUGAAAGCAUGAAACAGAACCGGGAAUUUAAAAGCAUGAUAUGUGUGAACUUCAAAUGUGUGUUCAUGAAAAGAAUGAAAUAGAUAUAGAUAUGAUAAUUAGGGGAAAGAAAAAGAUGCGCUACCAAACAUAGUAAUCUGAAUUGCAGCCUUUGAUAUGAUGGAGUCUGAAUUCAGUGUUACCUGUACCGUUGUCUUUGUGCGGAUGUGCUCCUCUACCGGAGUUGCAGCCAAAACCUGAAAUCCACACGGAGGAAGAAUAGAACAGAGCAACAAAAAUUCCAGGAGAUCUCUAGAGGAAAAAUAUUUUCAGGUACCCUUUAUAUGUUUGCACCAUUAAUCGCCCAGCCAUGCUUCAAGAGAUUCUCUGAUAUGGGACUUCCCUUUCCAGGAGAUUUUCUGAUCACAGUUUGGUACGAGAUCUGUAGAUUUCAAGAGUUUACCUUUCAUGUAAUUUUAUUUCCUUUAUGAUGCCCUCGAAUUAUGGGCGGUGAUGGUGAUGGAAUGUAAUCUCUAUAUUUCUUGACUGUAUGGUGCAGUGACGGUGGACAACAUUUAUUUCCUUUCAUGUAAUUUUAUUUCCUUUGCCUGAAACUGGUUCUUGUUGCCU